rnacentral:rRNA from 1 species
AAAGUCCUACGGGACGCAGCAGUGAGGAAUAUUGGUCAAUGGGCGGUAGCCUGAACCAGCCAAGUAGCGUGAAGGAUGAAGGUUCUAUGGAUUGUAAACUUCUUUUAUAAAGGAAUAAAGUGAGGCACGUGUGCCUUUUUGUAUGUACUUUAUGAAUAAGGAUCUGCUAACUCCGUGCCAGCAGCCGCGGUAAUACGGAGGAUCCGAGCGUUAUCCGGAUUUAUUGGGUUUAAAGGGAGCGUAGCUGGGUUGUUAAGUCAGUUGUGAAAGUUUGCGGCUCAACCGUAAAAUUGCAAUUGAUCCUG